CGGACGGGUGAGUAAUGUCUGGGAAGCUGCCUGAUGGAGGGGGAUAACUACUGGAAACGGUAGCUAAUACCGCAUAACGUCGCAAGACCAAAGAGGGGGACCUUCGGGCCUCUUGCCAUCGGAUGUGCCCAGAUGGGAUUAGCUAGUAGGUGGGGUAACGGCUCGCCUAGGCGACGAUCCCUAGCUGGUCUGAGAGGAUGACCAGCCACACUGGAACUGAGACACGGUCCAGACUCCUACGGGAGGCAGCAUG
rnacentral:rRNA from 1 species